GUACUCGAGCACUCUUAUAUGGCUCGGAAACGAGCCGUAUGUGUACAUAUGUAGUCGUAGAGACUGACAAGGUAUUGAAUCUUCAGGACCACGUCAAGAUUGAUUCUUCACAUCGUAGGUCGUUGGCUCGCCAACGUUGAGAAUGGAGACCAGUUCCAGUGCCCCUCAGCUGAGGUCAUUUUCUUUCCGUGAUGGGGUUAUUUUGGUGAUCCUGUCUCUCAUGGCAACCUAUCUCCUGAGAGUGCAGCAUAGCUUUGAACUUGUUCCCUCUUGGCGGUACGAGGUCAGCACUGGUUUCUACGAGGAGAGCCUGAAUACCCGCACCCUGAAAAAAUUGCCUGUUCCGUUAGUAGCUGAUAUUGAGAGUGAUGGGAAAAAUGAGAUCUUACUGGCAACCAAAGAUUCUUCACUGCUUCUUCUCAAGACCUCUAAACCUUCACCGGGGUCCAAGGCUCUACCGUAUCUCAACAGUCUUGAUGAAUUCUCUCUGCUCUCAAAUGAAGCUGAUAUAGCUGGAGACAAGAAACAAGCAGUUGCUAUGGCAACAGGGUACUUGGAGCCUCUGACUUCAGAUCAUCAAGUUCGGAAGCAGGUAGUUGUAGUUCUGUGUGCUGAUUGGACCGUGGUGUGCCUUGAUAAUGAUUUCAAAUUAAUUUGGUCAAUAAAGCUUCCAAAUACAUCCUGGAGUCAUCAGUAUGUCAUCAGCGAGGCGGCCAUCUUGAUUCUUCCUCAUAGCCUGCAAGCUAACGAUGGUGGACUAGUGAUCAUUGGUGGCAGGCUUGCAGAUAAACUUGCACAUGCAACACUCAAGCACAGUCAUGAUGGUCAUGGAUUCAAUGGUGCUAAUAAGGAGAGCGAUUCAAACCAUGAUGUAGGCCAUUUCUCGACCUUUGCUCUAUCCGGUCGCCAUGGUGAUGUAAGAUGGCAUCAUCUUCCGGGUGAUUUUGGAGAAGAAACGAACACAGAAGAGGAAUUGUUCCAGGGAUUCCAUUUCAAGCUGAAUUUGAAGAGAGGUUGGGGUCAUCAGGGGGAACUUGGAUGGAACCAGUACAACCAGGCUCUCAUCAAACAAAUGCCUUUCCGCUGGCAGUCUAGCGUGAACACUAAGAUUGACAUUGCAGCGUUCCGCAAGGAUGGGGUCAGAAAGGGUGUUGAAAAGGACGAACAUAUUCUGUCAGUUUCGUCAUUCUUGACAUCAAGCUUUGAAGAGCACAUUGCUGGCCAUCAUUUUGGAGGUCUUCCGCCACACUCGGCAUCAGAACACAUCAAGAAUCCUAACGCUGUUAUCAUCCAUUCUCAGCAGGGUAUAGAGGUCUUGGAGCUGAAGACCGGCCGACCUUUGACCCGGCUUGACCUGUCAUCCGAUGCAACAUACGCUGACAUUGACAAAGAUGGUACUGUUGAUCAAGCAAAAGGUUUGUUAAUUCAUGAAGUAGCAUUUAAAUUGAGUAAAGUGGAGAAUUGUUUAAUAUCUUUUUGGUAGCCAUUCAUAAUGUUCUCUUAUGUGGAAGAUACGUCACAAAACAAAAAUAAACCUCAUAUAUCUACAUUCCAAAAGAUAAAGCAAAAGAGAAAAAAUAAACAGAUAUACAAACACACAAAUAUAGCAGGUGCGCAUACUUUUUUAAAAUGUUUGCUGACUCUGAUGAACUUACCAGCUUGCCCGGGCAUAGCAGCCAUAGUAGAUUAUUUGUUGCACUCACAUCAAACUUACAAAAUACUAAUCUAAAUAAUGCCUACAUGUACUUUCUAUACAAUUUUCCAAGUUUUUUAGGAAUGCAUUACUGUAAUGUGUAGAAGGCAAAUAUAAAAUGUCACAUGCUUUCACAUUUAAAAAGUACAGUCAAAAUUGGUAUGCUUAAUAUGCAAGUAGCUUCACCCAUUCCUCAAUCAGAUUAAAUGAAACUAAGAAACGCCCAACUUUCAAACAACGUUAAUUCCAUUAGGUGGGGCGAUAUUUCUCCAAUUUAAGAUCAGCAUACGUUAUGGCCAUAUAUAUUUCACUGUUACUUACAUACAUAUACCGUAGUACAGUCAAAAUGAGUAUGGUAUGCAAGUGGUUUCACUUGCAUACUCAUUGACUAGUCAACUCUAGCUUGUGGGAAGUCUGUUAAGUCUUAUAAUGUCGGUGAGGAAGCAUAGGUUUAAAAGCCUGGUAGUCGGGGUGAGAGACUACUGGUAUGACCCCCCUUGCACAGAGCCUGAUGAUUAUCAUACUUCUCCAGAGAAAGCUUAGGCUGUCCUGCCUGGUACAGAGGUUGUGGUCCAAUGUCAGCAUCAUUGCCAUCAGUGAUCCUUCUUGUACCGGCCAUUCUGAUUACAUCAUACUCAUCAUCCAGAUGAAAAUACAUGAACUUGAAACGGAUUGUUGUUUGGUCACUCUUGAUGUCUUGUACUGUCAUGAACUUUGUCCAUUCUAUGUUUUGGUUUCCCUCGGAUGACCUAACACGUAUGGUGCUUCGUUUUUGACUGUAUGACUUCCAGUCUGUGAGGUCUGAACAGCCAUCACUCUUCUCCUUACAUUUGCUAACCUUACUAGGAGUAAUAUUUGAUGCUGAAGAUUUUUCAGACAAUUACAAAACAAUGGCGAGAGCAAUGAUACAAGUUUGUAUUGAC